CACCAGCACACUUCCCAUAUCAUUACAAGCACGGCACUCAGGCUUGCAACAUGGUUACACUGAUCAUCUGUCCUUGGCCUUCUGAUUAAACCCUAUACAACUGUCUGAAGACGUCCGUGUGGCUAAUUAACCAGGCUACAUUACGUUUGAAAAAAAGAAAACAUAUUUCUAUGCGAUCUGUAACGAAAAAAAAACCCAACAAACGUCAUUGCGUGGUCAAGGAUAUGAUCUGGAAGCUUUGUCGGAUAUAUUAAAAACAAACACACAAUACCUCAUUGCAUAUUAGUGAGAAACAUCAGCUUAAACAUACUUACGAUGGAUUUAUCAGUGCUGUGUGUUAUUGUCAUAUUCUACAUGCCUGGACUCUCGGCAUCUUCAUUUACACGUGUAAUUCGUGCUGCUCUUACAGAUUACGCGCAUAGCGUACUGGAUACUUACGACAAUAAAACACAUUAUGUGGAUUGUGCCAAGGUUUGUAAAUCUAACUGCCUGUCCUUCUCCUAUGAUCCCGGGACUAAGGAAUGCAAAACGUAUACCAAGAUAAUUUGUAGAGAUACCACUAAAUUGAAAUCUAAUAGCAUGAUGUUUGCUAAGGUCUACAAGGAUGCCAUCAAGGGACGACCAGGCCGACACUUGUCCACGUGAAUACCAACAUGUGUAGUAUAAGAGGACUCUAGUACCUCUUUUGACCCAAGGAACCACUUGCGUUUGGUAUUUACAAAAGCAUUUCUUUUUUCAUUAAAAACAAUAACAACAUA